ensembl:lncRNA
GGCAGUGCCUCUCCUCUCGGCCCGUCUGGCCUCGGGCCGCUUUCGCCGCACCCCUGGAGGAGGCGGCUGAAAGAUGAUACUUGAAUUACUUGAAUUUAAGCUUGCCGCUUUUACUUAUCAGUGUAUUCUCAUGUACGCUUGUAAAAGAAAUAUUUUCAGCCCAUUUCUUGUUUCCUGGUUACCUUGUUUGCCGGUUUUUUUCGUGUGUCAGUGUUACGGUCAUAAUUGUCCAAUGUGCUGAGGAAAGGAAGAUUCAGAUUAGCUAUUAGAAAACAUAUUUUCAUUAUUCGAGUGUUCAGGCAUUGCAAUGGGAUGCCCAGCGAGGUGGCCGAGACACCAUUCCUGGAGCUGAGGCAUCCAAACCUGGCAUUGUGUGAUGCAAUUUAACUUGCAGCCCCUGGUACAUGCGUUUAGAAAGUGCUUAUGACUACAGUUGCUUUUGCAGUCUCUUUUAGGACAGUCUAAUUUUAAAAUAUUUUUGGCAUACAUUUAAUACAAGAAAUCUCAGCAAGUUUCCUAGUAUCUUUUAAACAAUGUAGGUAACACAUAUUUCUUAGUUCCAGAUGCAGUUCCUAAACUUCAGGCAAUGCUUAAAUUGCUGAAGAAAUACUAAAAUGUGAGACAAACGGAAAGGAGAUGUAUAUGAUAGUGUGGGAACAAGAAGUUUACAAGGCUGCAGGAGGAGGCUGGACAAGUACAUGAAAGUACAAGUAACAAAAUUCAAGGAAGGUUCUUGUUGGCCAGAAUGUGCCUGCUUUCUGGGAUGCUGGGGACUGUGAAGGAUGCUCAGGGAAACUUCAAAUUUUGUAAUCCCAGAGUCAAACCUGGGCAGGAGGAGAGAGCAGAAAGUCACAAGCUGAAGUGGACAGAUUCUAACCUUGGCUUUGGUAAGGAACUCUUUUGGGAAGCUGUCUCUGCUGAAUACCCCAGUACCUUAUUGCAGGGCUCUCUGUGGCUGCAGACUCCUUCAGUAGCUGCUGUGCAUCCCAGAGCAGCCUCGAGUUCUGAAGGAUGAAGUGUUUAAAUGUGCGCAGAGGGUCAACUUGGAGAGACCAGGAUUUAUUUACAGGACAGUUGGCCUGCAGUCUAGCACACAGAGCUACUGCUUAUAUCCUAGGUAAAAUAGAUGACUUGGCACUUGGAAAGUGCUACAGAUAUUGCUAAAAAGGUGCUUCUUGGCUCAUCCAUCUCUUGUAAGGUGCAGAGGAACUGUGGCAGCUAUAUAAAGAGUUUGGGGAAAAAUAGAGACACAUGAGUAAUGGAGUAGUAAAACUCAGUUCAGCUCUUUGGCACUUGCAAACUCACAGCCAAGCCCUGCAGUCUUAACUUGGGAAAAAAAAUUAUCUGGAGAAAUCAAAGGGAGUUUUAACUUAGAAAGCCACUCUACUGCUUGUUUGUUGUAGGGGUAGGUGUUCAGCAGCUAAGUUCCCUUUCUUUGGCUAUACAGGCUGUGACUAGGGGCAAGCAUCUCCUCUUAGUAUCACAACAGAUGUAAAAGUAAUCAGAAGCACAAUUCUACCAGCUAGAAAAAUCUGCUGCAUUAUUAAGAACAGCUUCUAAAAUGCUGAAGAAAACUAUAAUCAACUGCUAAAGCACGUCUUGGGGAACUAAAAGGGUUUAUAAAUAAUCAUUAGAAUAAACUGCUCCCUGCCGUGAGGCA